rnacentral:rRNA from 1 species
CCCUUAGAUGUUCUGGGCCGCACGCGCGCUACACUGAAGGGAUCAAAACGUUUUCCCUCUCCGAGAGGAGCGGGUAACCUUUCGAACCCCCUUCGUGGUAGGGAUCGGGGCUUGCAAUUAUUCCCCGUGAACCAGGAAUUCCCAGUAAGCGUCAGUCAUAAGCUGGCGUUGAAUACGUCCCUGCCCUUUGUACACACCGCCCGUCGCUCCUACCGAUUGAGUGGUCCGGUGAGGCUUUGGGAUCUGAGCGGAAAGAGCGUUUCGCCGUUUCUGCUCGGAAAACUCAGUCGAACCUUAUCAUUUAGAGGAAGGAGAAGUCGUAACA